rnacentral:rRNA from 1 species
CCCUUAGAUGUCCUGGGCCGCACGCGUGCUACACUGACGCCUACAGCGAGUACUUCCCAGCCCCGAGAGGCGGCUGGUAAUCAGCAAUAGGCGUCGUGAUGGGGAUAGAUCUUUGGAAUUCUGGAUCUUGAACGAGGAAUGCCUAGUAAGCGCAGGUCAUUAGCCUGCGCUGAUUACGUCCCUGCCCUUUGUACACACCGCCCGUCGCUCCUACCGAUUUCGAGUGGUCCGGUGAAUCUUUCGGACUGCGCGCAGCUUCGUGCCGUGUCGCGGAAAGUCAGGUAAAUCUAAUCACUUAGAGGAAGGACAANUCGUANCA